rnacentral:rRNA from 1 species
AUUGAACGCUGGCGGCAUGCCUUACACAUGCAAGUCGAACGGUAACAGGUCUUCGGAUGCUGACGAGUGGCGAACGGGUGAGUAAUACAUCGGAACGUGCCCGAUCGUGGGGGAUAACGGAGCGAAAGCUUUGCUAAUACCGCAUACGAUCUACGGAUGAAAGCAGGGGACCGCAAGGCCUUGCGCGAACGGAGCGGCCGAUGGCAGAUUAGGUAGUUGGUGGGAUAAAAGCUUACCAAGCCGACGACCUGUAGCUGGUCUGAGAGGACGACCAGCCACACUGGGACUGAGACGCGGCCCAAACUCCUACGGGAGGCAGCAGUGGGGAAGUUUGGACAAUGGGCGCAAGCCUGAUCCAGCAAUGCCACGUGCAGGAUGAAGGCCUUCGGGUUGUAAACUGCUUUUGUACGGAACGAAAAGGCUCUGGUUAAUACCUGGGGCUCAUGACGGUACCGUAAGAAUAAGCACCGGCUAACUACGUGCCAGCCGCCGCCGUAACAC